CGGGGCUGCGGGCCCGGCGGCCGGGCUGGCUGGGCCGCGUUUGGGUUCCCGCGCCGGCUCCCGCACCCGCAAUGGGGAACUCACACCACAAGAGGAAGGCCCCCAGCGGUCCCCGGGUCCGCAGCUUCUGGCGGUUCGGGCGGUCUGCGAAGCGGCCGGCAGGCUCUGCCAAGGCUGAGAAUGACAAACGUCUAAGUGUAGGGCCCGGCCAGGGGCCAGGGUCUGCAGUGGAUGAGCACCAGGACAACGUCUUCUUUCCCAGUGGGCGACCCCCCCACCUGGAAGAGCUGCACACUCAGGCCCAGGAGGGGCUCCGCUCCCUACAACACCAAGAGAAACAGAAACUGAACAAGGGUGGCUGGGACCAUGGAGACACCCAGAGUAUCCAGUCCUCCCGGACGGGGCCGGAUGAAGACAACAUCUCCUUCUGCAGCCAGACCACAUCCUACGUGGCUGAGAGCUCCACAGCAGAGGACGCGCUCUCCAUCCGCUCGGAAAUGAUCCAGCGCAAAGGUGGAUUCAUGGGCAGGGGAGAGGGACGGUGGGCACCAUUGGGUCCCAGCAUCUGUAGCUUCUUUUCCUCCUUAUCCAGUGUUUUGCCAGGCUCUCUGAUUCAAUGAAUUCGGGAAACAUGGUACCCUGUGUCCUCUUGCACGUUCAUGAUACACACUAACUAUAAAGCAG
rnacentral:sRNA from 1 species